rnacentral:pre_miRNA from 1 species
AAACAACUCAAUAUGUUUCGAUUAUUUGACAGUUUUGAACCUCUAAGAAAAAAAAAAUUACAAAAUUUGACACGUGGCAUCUCACUUAGGGUGCCACGUCAGCGUUGACCGAGUCAACAAUGGACCGGGGGUUCAAAACUGCCAAAGAAUCAAAACGUAGGGGGCUGUUU